AACGUAGGUGACAAGCGUUAUCCGGAUUUACUGGGCGUAAAGCGCGUUCAGGCGGUUUGGCAAGUCGGGCAUGAAAUCUCCUGGCUCAACCAGGAGGGGCUGUCCGAUACUUCCAGACUUGAGGGCAGUAGAGGGUGGUGGAAUUCCGGGUGUAGUGGUGAAAUGCGUAGAUAUCGGGAGGAACACCAGUGGCGAAGGCGACUACCUGGCCUGUUCUUGACGCUGAGGCGCGAAAGCUAGGGGAGCAAACGGG
rnacentral:rRNA from 1 species